ACUGCACAGCAGUUUUCCCGCUGCUUUGUCACAUGACAGUAUCCGUAUAGUGACGUCAUAUUUCAAGCUACGUCAUUUUGUUGCGAGCGUCUCUUCAAGCCAGCUGCCGCUGUAUUCUUGGAAGCGGAAAAGCAGACAAAAUCUUAAAUAUCUGGCGCAAUCCUUUAUUUGUAUCUACGUUCAGAACCUAAAACUGUAUCAAAAUGUCACAUGGAUCACGAAUGCCACCUGAUAUUGAAGGGAUGACUUCACUGAAAGUGGACAAUUUAACAUAUCGUACAUCACCUGAAGAGCUACGACGCUGCUUUGAAAGAUAUGGCGAUGUUGGCGAUAUUUACAUUCCACGCGACAAAUUCUCAAGAGAGAGCAGAGGAUUUGCCUUUGUACGAUAUCUCGACAAGAGGGAUGCUGAAGAUGCAAUGGAUUCGAUGGACGGUAACCUUUUUGAUGGCCGAAAAUUGAGGGUACAGAUGGCAAGAUACGGCCGACCUCACGAAUCGCGGGGAAGAUACGGAGGAGGCGGACGCCGAGACCACGGCGACCGUUUUGGUGGAAGAUAUGGUGGCAGAAGAAGGUCAAGAUCAAGAUCACGUGGAAGAUACAGGUCUCGUUCCCGAUCUCCACGCAGACGUAAACGCUCGUACUCACGCUCCCGCUCCCGUAGCCGAUCUCUCUCCAGGAGUCCUUCUCCUCGCAGGGGUCGCAGCAGGUCUCACAGCCGGUCCAGGUCCCCUCGCAACUCACACUCCAACUCUCCGCCGAUGAGACGGGAUAGGGACGAUUCUCGCUCCAGGUCUAGAUCACCUGAUGAAGAGGAGUAGACUAUCUGCGGGUCGUAGUGGAAGAAGACAUCCUUCGCUCUUUGAUGCCAAGAUAAAGGCGAUUGACUAUCUAGAAGAUCCUUAUGCAGUAUCUUCCAGAAUAGAUGCAGUUUAUGAAUGGCACCAGUUAUUGCCUGAAAGUAAAGCAGUUGUUGGUGCGGUUGUAAAGGGGGUGUUAGAUUAUGCAGUAAAAGAUCAUGGAGAGGCAAAGCUGUUUGCUGUCAGUAGUCAGUUUGUGCAGUCCCGUCUGCCUGCUUGCCUGCCCGCAUCCAGUGUGUGUUAUGGUGUACCGGUGGUAGAAAGCUGUGUAGCAGCUGCAGAGCCCUGGGUUGCUGUGUGUACCAGUUGAAAGAAAAGCUGUGUAACCGGCCGUGUUGCAGAGCUCUUGUGUUGUGCACCGCAAUGGGAGGAGGAGAAAGAAGUUGGUGGUGUUGGCGGCGAAGAAAAUCCAGAGCAAAAUUGGCAGAAAAUCACCAUGCUGUCUCGUUUCCUGUGCAGAUCGGCACUAGAGCAGAAAAGCUGGGCGCCACCAAUUUCGGGCUCUUGGGAGGAGAGGUGAAUUCUAAAGACAAAGUCUUUAAAGGAGGGGUGAAAGGCAGAUUUUGUUUUUGGAAUUAUGUUUUGGAGAAAUGUAAGAAAUCAAAAAGCAACAGAAUGUGCCCUGAGAGAAAUUUGAUACCUGGGAGAGGGGGAUCCAAGAAGAAAUUUCAGUUAAAAUGUCAGCCCCCUUUUUUUUUUGUUCCAUAAUAGAUUUCAGAAAUGGGGACAGAAUGUUCAAGAGAAGGGCAAAAAUAUGUGAUUUUUCACAUUUUUGGGUAACCUACUAAGUACCUUAGCCAUCUAGUCUUAAAAGAAGCUUAAUGCUGCAGUCACAUUUCUCCUACGGCGGCCAUACGGCAAGUCAAAAUCAGCUUUUUUAUUCAAACCAUCUAUAUGUAGCUGGUACGGCUGUCGUAGAAAUGUGACUGCUGCAUAAGUCAUGUUACAUGUAACUGCUAUAAGAUGCAAAGGUGCAAGAUGAUGGUGACGUGGUCAUCAGACAGAGAGAGAGAGAGCAAGAAAUUAGAAAAGUGAUUGACUUUCAUUCUGUGGCUCAUUGCAGGAAGGGUUGCAUUUAAACGCAACUAGAAAUACAUACUUAUGAAGUUUUGAUUUGAUUGAUCAGAUAAGAUGCAUUUGAUUUUGGAGUAACGUUUAAUUGCAAAUCUUCUGCAACUGGUCCGUGAUGUGGCAGAAUGUUGUGGGAUUAGAUUUCUUUUAUCCUGGAACUUGAGCCUGUCUUCAGUUUUAGUAAAUCCCUCAAAAGUGCAUGUCUGACAUGUCACUAUUCCAUUUCAUUACCAGAUUAUAUAAGUAUAUAUGCCCUAAAACAGUUGUGAUGUGAAGCCAAGGAUAUAACAAAAGAAUAAAAAUAAAUUUACAAAUUUUACAUUAAUUUUGAUUAUGCAUCCAAUCAAAAAAUGUAUGCAUAUUUUUGUCUUAAAAAUCUCUUCUCGAGCAUGAAAUAAUUAAAGAGUUCAGGAUAUAAUCUAAAUAUCUGGUUACUAAUUAUAUAAAGUGAGUGCCGAAAGGGCAAAUUUAUAUAAUAAUUCAUAACCGAGAGAGGGUGCUCGGUGCCAAAUUUAAAUUAUAACGGCUGAAGAUAAAAUUUAAAUCCUAACUACUGAAAACACAUUCAAUGGCUACUUCACUUUUUGGAAUGUUAAAUGAUACUCUAGUAUAAUUCGCAUUACUGAGCCUUUAUCAAAGCUAUUUCACAAUAUGAUGUGAUGCAGUAUGUUUGCUCGAGCACUACAUAAUAUGUACAAAUUUGCUUUAAAUGGAUCCUUUUUUGGAAAUAGUGUAUUACACAAUACAUAUCCCCCCUUCCAAGGGGAAAAAAUAAUAGCUUAAAUUGACAAAAAGAAAAAGUUUUUUUUUCAUAAUCUUGAAGUCCAGAAUGAUUGAAGAUUUAAUGAGUAAGUGGGUAUUGAAAAAGACUUGAAGUUAAAUGAAUUUGCUUAUUUAUAAAACACAUUAAUUAUUAAAAAAAACACUGAAUGAAUCAGAAUAUUUAAUUAAGUAAAUUUUAAUUGUUAUAAAAACAUGUUAUUCAGGAACCAUGCCUUGGAAGUUAUUAUUAUGUAUCUGUAUGAAAAGUAUUUGUUUUCAGGCAGGCCACAGGUAUUAUCAGAUGAAGGCACCAGUCCAUCAGUCUUUGGAUUGCAACAGAAGUGGAUCAUCGUCGUCUGAUAGAAACACAAGUUUUAUUAUCAAUUUCUCAGUUCCCUGACCCAUUGAUAAAAAAAAUACACGCAUCUACUAUUCUAGGUUUCCUCUGACCCCAUGUAGGGGCAUCCCCUCCCCCUUCCUCUUGAAAAAAAGAAAACGGCAGGUUUUUUUUUGUAAUUUGAUUUGUAGAGAGUAAGUAUAGCUACCAUAAGCAUCUUACUCGAGCUGGAAAGUUCUUUUAAAUACAGCUUUCACUCUUCAAAAUAUGAAAAAUUGCAGUCAUUGUUUGCUCCCCUGCAUUCUUCAAUGUUUAACCUGCAAUAAAAGUUUGGACUUGAUUUGGUACCUGCGGAUUUCUUUCUUGUUUGUUCCUCCCCCACCCACCAUUUUAUUUUGCCCCCCCCCUUUCACCUCUGCUUCCCUCCAAGGAAUUUAAAGGUCAAGUCCACCCCAGAAAAUGUUUUGAUUUGAAUCAAUAGAGAAAAAUCCAACAAGCAUAACGCUGAAAAUUUCAUCCAAAUUUAAUGUAAAAUGAGAAAGUUGUGACAUUUUGAAUUUUCACUUAUUUUUCUCAAAAUAGUUAUGCACUACUCGGAAUGCAAAUGAGAUAGUCGAAUUCCCUCACUAUUCCUUCUGUUUUUUAUUGUUUGAAUUAUACAAUAUUUCAAUUUUUACAAAUUUGACAAUGAGGACCAACUUGACUGAACCACAAAAUGAUAAAACAAUGGUAAUCAUAAAUCCAGGGAGGAAUAAAACUCCUUUCACAUGACAGUGACAUUUCAUUUAAUAAUUUAUUAAAUGAAAUGUAAAAUAUAAAAAAAUACUAGUAGUGAGUGGAUUAAGAAAGUAUGUCUUGUAACUGAUGGAUUGAUUAGAAAAUAGAAUUUAAAUAAAAAUUAAAAGAUAUAUACAGGUAUAUGA